GCGCCACGCCGCUUCCGCGCACGCGCCUCUCGCGAGAGCGGCGGCGGCGGCAGCUGCGGGGCGGCGAGUGUUCUCCGUCCCAUCGCGAGAGCUGCCGCUCCCGCGCGGAGGCGCCCAGCGGCUCCCGCCCCGCCAACGGCUAACGGCUCCCCGCGGGGGGAGGGGCGGGCUCGCCUCAGCGCAGCCGCCAGCUCUGCUCCCCUGUGACAGUGUUAUAAACAUGGCAAACCAAAGGAAGACCUUAGAAAACAACACAAGGAAGCUAUGAAGGCUGUUGAGAAAGCAAAGAAGCCAGCUGGACCGCUAAAGACUGCCUGAGCAAGUGAAAUAUGACUACAUAUUUUCUUCUGGAAAAACAGAUGACAGUACUUAAAAUCCUGCAUACAGUAACUGUUACCACUGAAGAUUUAACAACAGAAAGGAUAACUGGCUGCCUACAUCAAUUUUCUAUGUAAAUGUUGCCUGAUGGUGAUCAUUACUAGUUGGUGACCAUGUCCCAAAUCAUAAAGCAGUUCCCUACUGGGACAGAGCUAGCAGUGGAUACUGAUAAAUAGGAGGGAGGAGGUGGGUAAAUCACUUGUUUCUUUUGGUGGCUUGUGGAGGGCAUAAUGGGCCCCAUUUUGGGAAAGAACUGAAAGAAUAUGUGUAGGAUAAUGUGCAUUACAAAGAACUGAGAAUUUUAAAAUGGAUUGGCUUCAGAAACUGGAAGUAAUUUAAAGAGAUGCAAAAAUCUGUGUUCUGAUUUUUACUUGUUUCUGAAACUGCUAAAUAAAUGAACAGGAUCUUUUUCA
rnacentral:lncRNA from 1 species